UCGAGCGCCAGCGAGAGAGCGUUGCCGCAGGCAACGACCUGAAGGGCGAAGCGCGCAGCGCUGAGUAAUCCUUCCCCCACCACCA
rnacentral:sRNA from 1 species